GACGAACGCUGGCGGCGUGCUUAACACAUGCAAGUCGAACGGAAAGGCCCUGCUUUUGUGGGGUGCUCGAGUGGCGAACGGGUGAGUAACACGUGAGUAACCUGCCCUUGACUUUGGGAUAACUUCAGGAAACUGGUGCUAAUACCGGAUAGGAGCUCCUGCUGCAUGGUGGGGGAUGGAAAGUUUCGGCGGUUGGGGAUGGACUCGCGGCUUAUCAGCUUGUUGGUGGGGUAGUGGCUUACCAAGGCUUUGACGGGUAGCCGGCCUGAGAGGGUGACCGGCCACAUUGGGACUGAGAUACGGCCCAGACUCCUACGGGAGGCAGCAGUGGGGAAUAUUGCACAAUGGGCGGAAGCCUGAUGCAGCAACGCCGCGUGCGGGAUGACGGCCUUCGGGUUGUAAACCGCUUUCGCCUGUGACGAAGCGUGAGUGACGGUAAUGGGUAAAGAAGCACCGGCUAACUACGUG
rnacentral:rRNA from 1 species